GCGUCCUUGGUGUAGCGGUAACAUACAAUCUACUUCUAUCACAUUAUUUGUUCCCUUAGAUUGGGUCCGGGGUUCGACUGACUCCCUGAGGGCGCA